AAAAUGUACAGAGCAGGGGGUCGCAAGGACGGGAAUUGAGAGCCGCUGCUCUAAGGGAAAACAUAGUACUUUGUGAAUGUCGAGAUAGCAGAGGGAAUCUGCCCAAUUCUGCCCUGCAGCUGAGACUUGGGACAUCUUUAUGAAUUCCUAAGAUGUUUUUGCAGAACUCAAGGUGGAACAUUUCAGCAGGGUUUUUGUCCCAUGAUUCAUAGCUUAAUUUAAAUUUGGGGCCCCAGAUACAGAAGAAUAGGUUUGAGGAUGCUUUUGAAGAUUUUUAACCAGUUUAGUAUGCAUGUGUUGAAUUUGAACAGUGAUUUCUUAUAUUAUAAAAAGCCCUGCGUGUCUUAUCCGACUGAUCUUUGAUUGCAGUAUUAAACUGUCCAGAAGCUCUUCUGAGAUUGUCAGACCCAAAUAAUUAUAACAGGUGACGUGAUUAAGAAUUGUUCCCCCAAUUGUAAACUAUUUUUUGUUAGCAAUGCAAGGCUUUUUUUUCUGAAAGAUCGUGAUUUUAGACUUUUCCAUGUUUAUUGUUAAGGCUCAGUUGUUACUAUACUUUUCCAAAAUGGAGAGGCUUUCAUGCAGUCCCUCUUCAUGAGGCGACAGCAGCAGAAGGUCAACGGCGUACAGGAGGCAUUUGAUUUCUCUGCCUUCAGGGUCAGACCAGGACAAUAGGACUUAUCAAGUGCUGAUGCUAAUUCAUUAAUUUAGGUAUUAAAUAGAGUCGGGCUGAGGCUGCAGCCUUGACAGAUUUCUUUCGUCUGACUGAAAUAAUCAGUCCAUAUGUCACUGAUUUUGACACAGCGUUUGUUCCCAUUGUAUAUGUCCUUUAUGAUGUCAUAUGUCCUUCCUCCUUUUACACUUUGGAUAAGUUUUAGGAAAAGUCCAUUAUGUCUCUCUCUCUCUCUCUCUCUCUCUCUCUCUCUCUCUCUCUCUCUCUCUCUCUCUCUCUGU